GAUGAACGCUGGCGGCGUGCCUAAUACAUGCAAGUCGAACGAAACUUCUUUAUCACCGAGUGCUUGCACUCACCGAUAAAGAGUUGAGUGGCGAACGGGUGAGUAACACGUGGGCAACCUGCCCAAAAGAGGGGGAUAACACUUGGAAACAGGUGCUAAUACCGCAUAACCAUAGUUACCGCAUGGUAACUAUGUAAAAGGUGGCUAUACUACCGCUUUUUGAUGGGCCCGCGGCGCAUUAGCUAGUUGGUAGGGUAAAGGCUUACCAAGGCAAUGAUGCGUAGCAGAAGUGAGAGGUUGAUAGGCCACAUUGGGACAGAGACACGGCCCAAACUCCUACGGGAGGCAGCAGGAGGGAAUCUUCCACCAUGGGCGAAAGCAUGAUGGAGCAACGCCGCGUGGGUGAAGAAGGUCUUCGGAUCGUAAAACCCUGUUGUUAGAGAAGAAAGUGCGUGAGAGUAACUGUUCACGUUUCGACGGUAUCUGACCAGAAAGCCACGGCUAACUACGUG
rnacentral:rRNA from 1 species